GUCCGCUAUGUCCUGCUUUGUAGCUGGGGUUAAAUUGGGUCCCACUGCUAGGGCUGCUGUGUGCGGUUGGGUUUGCAUGAGUUCUGUGGGCCUCUCUUUGGGUCCCUCAUGGGCGCCUGGGCCUUCUGGUUGUUCCAGUGCUAUCUUUGUGGCAGAUUGCCUCUGCAGUUCAGUCCCCAUCCCGGUCGCCCUGGGUGCCCCACCUAGUAGGUUAGUGUGGGGGUUCCCUGGUUGAUCUGGGCUUUGCUGGAUAUGGAGGUAUUAUGCUCUGGCGGUGGUGCCACGGGAGCCGGCUGGGUACGGGUGGGCUUCUGAAACAUGGUCCGGCGGGUGCGCCUGUUCUAUGUGUUUCGCCAGAUGUCCACGUAGGAUUUCCUCGAGGCCCAGGCUUAAUGGUAUGUGGUGUGUCCGAUUCUGUAGCUCCUGCGGUUGGAAGAACGGCAUCGAUAGGCGCAGUGUUUUGUGCUGCUGCCGUCUGAGCAGGUGUUGUGGCUGGAUGGGUGCAAGAAAGAGGGAUAUUUUGUGGAUUUAAGUAGUUUGUUCUGGGAGCUGGUAGAAAUGGCGUCCGUUCGUGUUGAGUUGCCAGUCAAUCGUACUUUAACCGUAGAACAGACAUAAUUAUAACAGACAUACAUUUUAUAUGGCCAUAAACAUGGCCCUCAUCCAAGUAUGUUAUUGUCACACUUCAAAAUCAAGAAAUGCC